ensembl:lncRNA
AUUCCUAACCCUAGAGGAGGUUGGUUGCUAGGAGGUUGCUGGUUCAAUCCCCGGCUCCUCCUAGCUGUGUGAGUAGAGUGUCGAGGUGUCCCUGAGCGAGAAACUGCACCCUAAUCGCUCCUGACGAGCUGGCUGUCUUGCAUGGUUGACACCGCUGUCGGUGUGUGAAUGUGUGCAUGAAUGGGUGAACAUGAGGCAAUAUCGCAAAGCGAGUGGCCACCGGUUAGAAAAGCGCUACAUAAAAUGCAGUCCGGUCCAUUUAAAAGGCUUUCUAAAUCCUCUGUGAGCAAGCAUAGUUCAAAGGUUAACCUAUCAAGACCUUUGCUUGUUGACAAGAACGGAUGGAUUUCUCCUCUGACUCCUGUCAGUUCUGUUCUGUUCUCUUCCUUUGUAAACAUCCUUGUCGUUUUCCCCUCUCAGGAGCAAGAAGACUACCGGUGGGACGAGUAGCACCAAAUGACGGCGUCUCUCCGGCAGGCUCCACCCCCUCACCGGCAGGCUCCACCCCCUCGCCACGCCCCGCCCGGAGGAACUUCUCCCGCCCGGCCUGCCCCGCCCACCGCCGCCUGCCCUCCCGCUGGGCCAGCCGCUCCCUCCUCCUCCUCCUCCUCCUCCUCUUCUUCCUCCGCCUUCUCCUCCUCCUCCCCCUCUUUCGCCCCCGUGGCUCCGCCUUCCACCCCCUCCCCUCCCUCAACCUCUCCACAAGCGCCACCCCCUCCUUUGUCUUCUCACACGCCUUCCACACGGAGGCCCUCAUCAUCUGACCUCUGAACUCUAGACCCCCGAACACCCAAUGACGACGUGGCUCCCACCCUGAUGACGGCGAGGCUCCUCCCCUCUCUCGUGACUCCGCCUCUCUCUGUGUGACCUCGAUGUACAGAACCAACGCAGACGUCCGUCCUCACUUCCAGAUAAAGUGCUUUAGCUGUGGGUUUCGUCCAGCCCCCUCUUUGUAGAAUGUAUGACGGUGCGGACCUGGGGAAGGACCCGGUGGACUGACCAGAGGUGGGGCGGUUCUUAAACGAGGGAGCCGUCCUUGCAGCCCCGCCCCAACGACCAACAGACCACCAGACAGCCAGCGCCUCUCAUGCUCGCUGCUCUCCGCUCAGGUCUGAGAUCCUAGCCUUUAACUAGUGUAGCUAUGCCCAUCGAACAACAACGGCAGCAUCAGACACUACAGACGCCAACGACUCUCGCUUUGGUCCCCGUAUACACGCGCCACACUGCCGAAAGUAAUGCUCUAUCGUUUACUCUCUUUUUUUGUCGUUUUUAAGAGCCUUCCAAAUGAACUCCAUGAAGUCGAUUUGAGACACUCGUCCGGUUUAGUGCUUUUAAUGCGUAUCCUAGUAUGCAACGGCUUGAGUUUUCCGUUGGUACCAAAAUUACCUGUUGUGUACAAAAUAUGCAGACAUAUAUCAAGAAGAAGAAGUGUAGAGGAAUUUUCAUUCCUGGAAGCCAAUGUUGCAGUUUUCUACAUCAUCUUUUUCAGUGUGGUGAAGGGAGCAGUCUCCCAUCUAUGCCUGGACCUUCCCUGUGACUUCAACAAAUUUUGCUUUGCCUUCGUGACCGGCGUGACAUGCUAUGAAAGAAAGAAAUCAUCCGUGUCUACUUGAUGUUGGAAGAAAUACACUUUCUUUUUUUGUACCAAUUGGACAUUUCUUUACAUUCUGUACAUCGGUUUUAUCCUGUUUUGUAUGUUUGACCUCCUGCUCUGCUCAUUGAUUAAGCUUUGGAAUCGUAACGCCAUCUCAUCAUGAAUCUCAAAUCUGGUGAGCCGGGGUUUUGGAUAUAAAUAACGACAAUGCAAAGACACACACUACAGCCUUUUUCUACCUUUACUAGCUCUGAAUGACUGCGUGUAUACGGCCUUCGUUCAGACCAGUAGUGCAGUUAAGACUCAGUAGAAUAGCUCAACACAACAUCAUCCAAGUGACAACACCUUUGCUGUUAUUUUUGUGUAAUAAAUGUAACUGGGCCUUAUACAGUAUUUCAAUCGUCUGUGUCUUCUAUCUAUCUUUUGUCACCAAGUACAUGCUCUAGCUUAGUGGUUCUCAAACUUAUUAUACUAUGUACCACCUCAGAAAAUAUUUUAUUACAGGUGUUAUAAAAUAAAACAAAAUACAGUAGCCUUAAAACCCGAC